rnacentral:misc_RNA from 1 species
UUCCGUAGGUGAACCUGCGGAAGGAUCAUUAAAAAAUAUCACUCGAUUGAGAGUGAUUAAUAUCAUCACCCUUGUGAAUUUGUUGUUUGAAUAAUUUUUUUUGAUUUUAAAAAAAAUUAUUUAUGUUUUGUCUAUCCCUAAAAUUGGUUUGUUGUGAAAGACAGUGAAUCAAUUUAGGAAUAGGCUUUCAUAAAUAAGUUUUUUUUUAAAGUCUUAAGACUUUUUUAAAAUUAACUUUGUAUUCAUUUGUCUAAAUUUUUUUAAAAUAUUUAAAAACAACUUUUGACAAUGGAUCUCUUGUUCUCGCAACGAUGAAGAACGCAGCAAAAUGCGAUAAGUAAUGUGAAUUGCAGAAUACGUGAAUCAUCAAAUCUUCGAACGCAUAUUGCACUUUUUAGUUACAAAAAGUAUGUCUGUUUGAGUAUCAGUAAAAUAUUCAUAAAAACUUUUUGUUUUUAUGGUUAUGAGUGUUUUACAACGAUAAACAGUUGUUUCACUUUAAUUCAUUUAAUUAAGACCAUUUUGGUUUUAAUAAAAAUUGGAUAAAAUUUUCCCGUAAAAAGGAAUAAACUUUCAGUUUUUAAUUAUUACCACAAACGGUCCGAUUAAAGGAAAUUUAUUUAAAUACUUAUCUCAAAUCAGAUAGAGUACCCGCUGAACUUAAGCAUAUCAUAAGCGGAGGAAAAGAAACUAACAAGAUUCCCUUAGUAACGGCGAGUGAAGCGGGAAGAGCUCAAUUUGAAAUCUUCAAGGUUCUACCUUGACGAAUUGUAGUUUAAAGAAGUGUUUUCUGUUAGAUGAGUAGCAAAGUUCUUGGAAUGGACAUCAUAGAGGGUGAGAAUCCCGUAUUUGGUUAUUCAUUCUAGCUUUGUGAUACACUUUCAAAGAGUCGGAUGUUUGGAAUACAGUCCAAAAAUGGUGGUAAAUUUCAUCUAAGCUAAUAUUGGCGAGAGACCGAUAGCGAACAAGUACGUGAGGAAAGAUGAAAGAACUUUGAAAGAGAGUUAAACAGUACGUGAAAUUGUCAAAAGGGAAGCGUUUGACACCAGUGUUGUUUUUCCAAAAUCAAUUACGAAUGGCUUGAUUUGUGUUGUAUUGACCUUAUCAGCUUUCUGCACUUUUUUCGAGUCUUUCUUAAUGCACUUUUGGUUAACAAGUCAACAUCAAUUUCUUUGUUGUAAAAGAGUAUUCGGAAGGUGGCUUUCUUUUCGGAGAAGUGUUUAUAGCCCUAUACUCUACAUCGGAGAGAUUGAGGCUGCAGCGUAGAUCCUUCGGGGUAGAUACACUUGUGCUAAAUUGUAGCUUUAUAGACAACUUGUGACUAUGUUUAGUCAUGCGGCUUACUCGCUUGAGCUAUUUU